rnacentral:rRNA from 1 species
AUGGCGACCGGCGUACGGGUGAGUAACGCGUAUCCAACCUGCCCUUUACUAUGGGACAGCCCGUCGAAAGGCGGAUUAAUACCGUAUGUUGUCAUGUUGAUGCAUAUUUUCAUGACCAAAGGCUUCGGCCGGUAAAGGAUGGGGAUGCGUCUGAUUAGCUUGCCGGCGGGGUAACGGCCCACCGGGGCGACGAUCAGUAGGGGUUCUGAGAGGAAGGUCCCCACAUUGGAACUGAGACACGGUCCAAACUCCUACGGGAGGCAGCAG